CAGAGUGACAGGUGGUGCAUGGUUGUCGUCAGCUCGUGUCGUGAGAUGUUGGGUUAAGUCCCGCAACGAGCGCAACCCUUGAUCUUAGUUGCCAGCAUUCAGUUGGGCACUCUAAGGUGACUGCCGGUGACAAACCGGAGGAAGGUGGGGAUGACGUCAAAUCAUCAUGCCCCUUAUGACCUGGGCUACACACGUGCUACAAUGGACAGAACAAAGGGCUGCGAGACCGCAAGGUUUAGCCAAUCCCACAAAUCUGUUCUCAGUUCGGAUCGCAGUCUGCAACUCGACUGCGUGAAGCUGGAAUCGCUAGUAAUCGCGGAUCAGCAUGCCGCGGUGAAUACGUUCCCGGGCCUUGUACACACCGCCCGUCACACCACGAGAGUUUGCAACACCCGAAGUCGGUGAGGUAACCUUUAUGGAGCCAGCCGCCGAAGGUGGGGCAGAUGAUUGGGGUGAAGUCGUAACAAG
rnacentral:rRNA from 1 species